CAGCUGAUUGCCCUUCCAGCACAAGUCUAUAAAGCGCUAACAGGGGCCCGUGUAUGUUGCUCUAAAUCCUACUGCUCUGCAGAGUGAAGAUGUAGCAAUGCUAACUUGACACGAAGUGGGCAGAAUCUGAGAAGUCUGCAGUAAUUGCAGAAUACGAAGCUUUGCUGACGUCCUGGCAGCACACUACAGCAUCACGUCAGGCUCCUGGAGUUACUCAAAGAAGCUACUAAGGCAACUUUAAAACACAGUAUUAAGAUACAGCAGUGAAGAAAGCAAAGCUUUUACGGACUUUUUUUUUCAUGAA
rnacentral:lncRNA from 1 species